UCUAAAUGGUCUGAGAUAUGAAUGGAGAACUGGCCUUACUCAUGCAUGCCUCCUUUGGCAACCCAGCACCAGACAAAGCAGCUGAGGUUUACAUGGACAAAUGAAAAAAUAAUGAGAAACUAAUGUUGUGAGAGAAAUAGUAAGUUUGAAGACAUUUUGUCUGAUUUCAUACCCUAUUAGAAGAAUAUCUUGAUUUUAAAACUGCUGCUCAUUUUUGUGUUGCUGGCUCAUUAUUCAAGUGGAUAUGUAGUUAGAUCUAAGGCCAUUCUGUUACUGAUGAGCUCUGAAAUGAAGGCUUA
rnacentral:lncRNA from 1 species